AGAGUUUGAUCAUGGCUCAGGAUGAACGCUAGCGGCAGGCUUAACACAUGCAAGUCGAGGGGCAUCACGAGUAGCAAUACUUGGUGGCGACCGGCGCAAGGGUGCGUAACGCGUGAGCAACAUGCCCGUAUCAGGGGGAUAAUCCAGGGAAACUUGGUCUAAUACCCCAUAGCAAUUGAAGGAGGCAUCUUCUUUGAUUUAAAGCUUUGGUGGAUACGGAUUGGCUCGCGUGACAUUAGCUAGAUGGUAAGGUAACGGCUUACCAUGGCUACGAUGCCUAGGGGUUCUGAGAGGAAGGUCCCCCACACUGGAACUGAGACACGGUCCAGACUCCUACGGGAGGCAGCAGUGAGGAAUAUUGGACAAUGGAUGGAAAUCUGAUCCAGCCAUGCCGCGUGCAGGAAGACGGCCCUAUGGGUUGUAAACUGCUUUUAUAUGGGAGCAAUAAGACCUACGUGUAGGUCGAUGAGAGUACCAUAUGAAUAAGCACCGGCUAACUCCGUGCCAGCAGCCGCGGUAAUACGGAGGGUGCAAGCGUUAUCCGGAUUUAUUGGGUUUAAAGGGUGCGUAGGCGGUUUGAUAAGUCAGCGGUGAAAUAUUUCAGCUUAACUGGAAGGGUGCCGUUGAUACUGUCGAGCUUGAAUUUAGUUGCUGUGGGUGGAAUGUGUGGUGUAGCGGUGAAAUGCAUAGAUAUCACACAGAAUAUCGAUUGCGAAGGCAGCUCACAAAGCUAAUAUUGACGCUGAUGCACGAAAGUGUGGGGAUCAAACAGGAUUAGAUACCCUGGUAGUCCACACUGUAAACGAUGAUAACUCGCUGUCGGCGAUACACAGUCGGUGGCCAAGCGAAAGCGAUAAGUUAUCCACCUGGGGAAGUACGACCGCAAGGUUGAAACUCAAAUGAAUUGACGG
rnacentral:rRNA from 1 species